rnacentral:rRNA from 1 species
UGCCAGUAGUCAUAUGCUUGUCUUAAAGAUUAAGCCAUGCAUGUCUCAGUGCAAGCUAAAUUAAAGUGAAACCGCGGAAGGCUCAUUAUAUCAGCUAUGGUUCCUUAGAUGGUACCAAAGUAUACUUGGAUAACUGUGGCAAUUCUAGAGCUAAUACAUGCAAAUAGAGUCCCUGCCUCCCAAGGCAGGGAUGCUUUUAUUAGAUCAAAACCAACCGGCCUUCGGGCUAGUUGCUCUUGGUGACUCUGACUAACUUUGGGCUGAUCGCACGGUCACGUACCGGCGACGCAUCUUUCAAAUGUCUGCCUUAUCAACUAUCGAUGGUAGGCUCUACGCCUACCAUGGUUGUAACGGGUGACGGGGAAUCAGGGUUCGAUUCCGGAGAGGGAGCCUGAGAGACAGCUACCACAUCCAAGGAAGGCAGCAGGCGCGCAAAUUACCCACUCCCGGCACGGGGAGGUAGUGACGAUAAAUAACGAUGCAGAACUCUUUCCGAGGCUCUGCAAUCGGAAUGAGCACACUCUAAAUCAUUUAACGAGUAUCCAUCGGAGGGCAAGCCUGGUGCCAGCAGCUGCGGUAAUUCCAGCUCCGAUAGCGUAUAUUAAAGUUGUUGCGGUUAAAAAGCUCGUAGUUGGAUCUGUGUUUCACUCUGUCGGUUCGUUGCCCGUCAACGUUUAACUGGCAUGCAAGUGGAACGUCCUGCCGGUUGGCAACGCGCGUCCGCAAGGGCGUGCGUGCGCCAGUUGGAUCCUGUCUAGGUCCUCUUCACCGAGAGUCGAGGCAGGCCGGCACGUUUACUUUGAACAAAUUUGAGUGCUUAAAGCAGGCUGUUACGCCUGAGAACUGGUUGCAUGGAAUAAUGGAAUAGGACCUCGGUUCUACUUUGUUGGUUUUCGGAGCCCGAGGUAAUGAUUAAUAGGGACAGGCGGGGGCAUUAGUAUUGCGACGUUAGAGGUGAAAUUCUAAGAUCGUCGCAGGACUAACCUAAGCGAAAGCAUUUGCCAAGGAUGCUUCCUUUAAUCAAGAACGAAAGUUAGAUGAUCGAAGGCGAUCAGAUACCGCCCUAGUUCUAACCAUAAACGAUGCCAGCCAGCAAUCCGUCGCUGUUCCUCCGAUGACUCGACGGGCAGCUUCCGGGAAACUUAAGCUUUUAGGUUCCGGGGGAAGUAUGGUUGCAAAGCUGAAACUUAAAGGAAUUGACGGAAGGGCACCACCAGGAGUGGAGCCUGCGGCUUAAUUCGACUCAACACGGG